GGAGAGAUGGCUCAGCAGUCAAGAGCGUUGGCUGCUCUUCCAAAGGACCUGGGUUCAAUUCCCAGCACCC
rnacentral:tRNA from 1 species